rnacentral:rRNA from 1 species
GACGAACCGUGCGAACGUUGUUCGGAAUCACUGGGCUUAAAGGGCGCGUAGGCGGCCACGCCAGUCCGGGGUGAAAGCCCCCGGCCCAACCGGGGAAGUGCCUUGGAUACUGCGUGGCUGGAGGGGGGUAGGGGCAGCGGGAACUUCCGGUGGAGCGGUGAAAUGCGUUGAUAUCGGAAGGAACGCCGGCGGCGAAAGCGCGCUGCUGGACCCCGCCUGACGCUGAGGCGCGAAAGCCAGGGGAGCAAACGGG